GGGGCCGUAGCUCAGCGAGGAGAGCACCUCGGUGGCAUCGAGGAGGUUGCCGGUGCGAGUCCGGCCGGUUCCACCA
rnacentral:tRNA from 2 species